GGCUGGUUAGUUCAGUGGGUUGAGCACGGUGCUGAGAACACCGAGGUCCCAGGUUCGAUUCCCUGUUUAGUCC
rnacentral:tRNA from 1 species